GUUACUGAUUUGCCAAAUACAACGCUAAACCACGCAGGGAGAGAAAACUUUCCUAAGGAUGGAUGUGUUAUAGCUUUGAAAAGCAGACUGGAGCUGAAUAAAACAGCAAGAAGGAGCUAAAAUGGUGAUUACUUCCCUCACACCCACCCCUCCCUCAUCUUCCCCUGGAGAAAAGCUGUGAUCACCGCCACCGUUCACUAAAGCAAGGAAGAGAGCAGGUGUGGAAGAAAAGUAAAUUCCUGUUAUCCCUGUUGAUGCCGAACCACAACACCCACAGAGGAGGAGCUGCAGCCAGAAGUUUCCCCCCACUUUCAUCAAGGACCAGUAAGUUGUGGGUUUCAGGGUCCUCUGUGCAUGCCAUGCUUGAUAAAGGUAAUAAGGAGGAAAGAUUAUGAAGAAGAAAGAAGCUGAUCAAGGAAUGAAAGCUCUAUAUUUACUGUCUUGUCCUGGUGCUCUUCCGAUUCCACUGACAUUUCAGCAUGCAAGUGGUGAAGGGCAGGCUGCAGCCCAAGAGCGAAAGAGGGGCGGAUGGACUCAGGAAUGAGUUUGCUGCGUCCCCAGUGCUGUUGUGAUUCUUUGAUGGACACUUACUUCUUUGCCUGUCUCAGAAUUUCCAGCCACUUCUUCAAAGGCGGAGCCACUUCAUCAAAGGCGGAGCCACUUCAUGGUCUUUGAGUGCUGUUGUGUUGUGGCAGCCACCUGGAGGGGGUACAGCUGGUUGCCACAGUGAUCCACUGUGUGUGAUUAGGCAGGUGGUCUACCAUUGACUUCCACCCCCUCCUUGAGUACACUCCUGGGCACAGUGCGGGCACUGAGUAAAGAUUCAUUUAUGGGUCACUCUCUCCUGUACCUCUGAUGCCUCAAUUUCCUCAUCUGUAACAUGGGAAUACUCUAGGAAUAGAGUCCUCUAAGAUCCUCCCCAGUUCUUUCUCCAACUGCACGUGAAAAUACUGCACCCGGAUACCAUGAUGAGAUUAAAUCUGUGGAGUUUACAUCUCUGGUUUUUAAAAAUUGUUUUUUUAUUACUAGGAAUCAAACUCAAGACCUUCACACUGAGCUACAUCCCCAUCUUUUAAAAUUUUUUUAUUUUGAGAUAGGGGCUCUCACUAUUACUAAAUUGCCCAGGCUGGGUUGAACUUGUGAUCCUCUUGCCUCCGCCUGCCAAAGUGCUGGAUUUAUACAUGUGCACUGAUACACCUGGGUGAGCUUUCUGACACUUUAAGGUAGAAUGUGAAGAAGCAAGCAUCAGAGAGCAGUACGUGUGUUUUCUUGGAAACUUCUAAGUUAAAGUCCUGGGAUGAUCAUUAUGUGCCUAUUGCUUAACUAAAACUUAUUGUCACUAUCUAUCUAUCACCUGUCUAUCAUCUCACUUCUAUCUAACUGUUAUGACUGCUUAUGUAUAUUAAUUAAUUUCAUUCACACAACAUGAAGUGGGCAAGUACUAUUACUGUCUUCAUUUCACAGACAGGACAACUGAAUCCCUUAGAUGUUAAAAUGCAGCCUCUUAAGACUUACAGCUGACAAGUAGCAGAAUUCAGAUUUUAACUCAAGCAAUCUAGAUCUAAAAAAUUCUCUCAGAGCCACUGAGCUCUACUAGCACUUAACAACAACUAACACUAGAAGAUUUUUACAGGAAGUUUUGGCAAGCUUUAUUGUUAAAGGAAAUGUUAUCACUGUUUCCAGGUGACAGUUACUUGUUUAGAGUUUGUCAGCUUUCUCUUCUAUUGCUCAUUUAAAAUAAAUUUAAGAAUGACUGAGAUUACGGGACAAUGACUCUUUCUUCAGACAGCAUUGCUGUGGAUAUUCCCUUUCAAACAUUUUUUAGCUGACUAAUACAGGGCUGCAUAUUUCCUGAGGACCAAAGAGAAUAGGAAUUAUAUUGAGGUCACAAUCAUCACCCACCUGGAGGUUUUCCAUCCACUGGAGAAACAAGGACAUGCACAUGACACUUAAAGGAUCGGAAUGGAACAGCAUUUGGCACCGGUGCCACAGAGCCUGUGCCCCAUGGCAGCUAAACUGAAAAUGAGGCUGGAAGGGUCAGGAAAAUGUCCUGAGGUGUGGCAGCUUGACCAUGAGUGCAUGGGAUGGGUAAGGUUUUCAUGGUGGCUGAGCGGUGAAACAUAAUUCUAGCCUAGAAUGCUAGUGAGGUAGGGCAAGCCCAGUGGCUACAAGAGAAUGUUCCGCCGUGAGACUGUUGGGUUCAGAUCCCGGUUCUGUUACUUCUCAGUUUUGAAUCCUGAGGAAAUUAGCAAAUGAACCUCUCUGAAGUUUGGUUUUCUUAUCUAUAAUGAAGUAAAAAGGAAAGUUUCAGGCAUGGUGCCAAUAGGAAAAAGAUGGAUUACUCUAAAUGGAUAAGAAGAGGAGGAUUUAUUUACAAGUCACAGGGCAGUAACCUGGAUCAGAGGUGCUGAGGGAAGAGGAGAGGAAAUUAUCCUCAGACGGAUCCCUAGAGUUGAGAAGGGACCUUCAGUUGAGCCAAUAAGCACCACAUAGAGAAAGCCAUCUCUCCGAGAGCAGUGCCUCUUAGGUGGGGUACACUUAGCCUGAAGAAGCUCAGAGGGAAGAGGAUCGUCCCUCCACUGAACGAGUCUGGCUCCACCUCUGUCUCCUAUUGGCCAAAUCCAACAAGGAAGCAAUCACCCUUGGGAAAUCGGUGCAGCUGUGAGUUAAGCACUCAGGACUGGAGAGUAGAGCAAAGAGUGUGGAUCCAGAGUGGUGGGAGCUGUUGAAGCUGGAUAUUGAACACAUGUAGGCUGUGGCAUGGCUGGAGCAUGGCCAACCUGAGAACAAAGAGACACUUCAAAAGGAUAAGAUAAAGUCACAACUGAGAACACCUGACUCCAACCCCAAUUAAGUAAAUAAAGACUGUAGAGGCAGGCAUUUCACUCCUGUAAUGAAAUGCAACAUGGAGAUCUUCUCAGUUCUCCUAAAUUAAACAUAAUCUGUUACUUGGAAAAGCCCUUGAACCACUCCUAAGGUCUGUUCAGUUUCCUGUACUUUCCACUGUAACCUCUUCCUUGUUUGGAAAGUAAGUAAAUACAGGCCACCCAGAGACAUUCCUUGUCUUAGCCCCCAGAGUCUUGAACUCUGCAGAGGGUUUUGAUUCUCCUGGCACCCUAAAAUCAUAUCACUUUUCUCAUUUAUUUAAGCCUUUGCCAUACACUUAUUUGGGAGAUUGGGGAUCUUGGCCACGUCCCUGAUACCAGAGAGGCAGAUAGAAGGAUGUGGCUCAGCAUGUGAAUACUGAAAUGUGAGCACUUUUAUUUUGGGAGGCUUCUGGUACCAGGUCUUGGCAGGUCUUGAGAACUGGGCUGAGGCAUUCAAGCUUAAUUCUGACAGCAGUGGAAACCGUGGGGGAGCUUCUGAGCAGAAGAGUGACAUAGGGAGAGAGUAAACUGUAGGGAGCCGAGCAGCAGCCCCAUUGCUGUCUCCCUGCCUCUCUCUCUCCUAUGGGCACUGCGUUUGCCUACAUUAACCAUAAUCCUCUCCUGCUUACGUCACAUACCUGGACGUGACUGUGACCCUGUUGUAUUCAUCCCCAUAGCCUCUUCCUGUCCCACCUCCCACCCUUGGCCUAUAAAAGAUGUAAUCACUUCCGGAAUAAACAGAUCGGAUUCUCUCGACUUGCUCCCA